CUCUCCUCGUUUCCUUCCUUCCGCCUCUUUCUGUGUUUCCCCCGUUCAAACCCAGCCUCUCCUCUCUCUCGUUCUCCCUUCCCCAAUCGAACCGAGCCUCUCUUCAACCCCAGGCUCUCUCUCUCUCUCUCUUUAUCUUUUCCCCAAAUUUUUCUAUUUCCUUCUCUCUCUCUCGCCUCUCAUCUCAAUUCUCAACUCCAGUUCACAUCUCACGCAGAAACAGAAUUUGGAAAUCCUUCCCCGUCAAAGCUCACACACUGUAAUCGUUGGGUCUCAACUUAAGUUUCAAGUCGAGUUCACAUAUUCUCAGACUCUGCAAAUCUUUCUCCUUCACACAGAAUCUGCAAAUCAGUCGGCCUCAACUCUUAUCUCAUCCCCAGUUCCCCUUCAAUUCAGUGCCUGCAUAAUGUGAUUCCUUCCUCUCCACUCCGUUCCAGGUAAAAUGGAGAGUGUGAAGCCUUUCUCAUCUAAUUUGGAUUGAAAAUUGUUCUACAUUGGAAGACAGCAUUUAAUUUCUGAAGUGAAUCAAGCGGUAAUUGCAGGUUACAAUGUGUGCACUACCAUUGGGCUUGUUCCAAUGAUGUCAAGGCCUUGCGUAAAUUUUCCUUGUAGUGUGAUAACUCAUUGGUGGACUACUAAAAAAAGGUAUCUGGCACUCGACCCACAAUGGAAGCUCACCUGAAUAGUUCUCAGAUUGUUAAUGGCCCUGAAGUUUUGGGCAAGUUUGUUGGUGAAACUGAGAAAAAUGUUAGGGGAUCUAUUUGCUGAUGCUGAGAAUGAUCAAAUGGCUCACGGUUGAAGCAGUUCCAAUCCUGGGGUUGGUGACCUCGAGCAUUAUGGCAACUCUUCUGUUCUCAUCAUAAAAAACGGCUCCUUUUUAUAAAGAGAUUAUCAUCAAAGCAUUGCUGCUCAACACCCAAAUCAUCAAAUAUGAGACAAAACAAAUUCUAAUGUUUAAAAGGAAUUCCACGAAAUAAAUAAUGUCUUUAUCAAAUCUUUAAUUCAUUACAGUAAAACCCAAAAAUCUAAAAAGUUUAAUUAACCUUACAUGACCACUCAUGAGGAAGGUCAAGGCAGCAAAACCCAACAAACCCAAAAUAUUCAAAUAAAUCCCACACAAAAAAAUCCAUUUGAAAAAACCUACAAACAAAAUAAUUCACUACUUUUUUAUAAGAAUUCGAACGGAGCUAUAGAACAUACCAAUUUGAAGCGAGAAACCUCGGUGAAAAUAGUUGAGGAAGGCACGUUGAUCUCAAGAAGCAGAGAAAAUUAGGGAUUUUUUCCUGGCUCCAAAUCAUCCUUAGACGCCGUUACUCUUUCCAAACAAAAAACAACCAAAUUGGGGAUUUUUUGGGUGAAGAAAAAAGAGAAAAUUAAAAGAAUGAUCCUUUAAUGUACACAUGCAUUAAAGAUGUAUUGCUCCGAUAAAGAUAAUGAAGAAGAAUGAUCCUUUAAUGUUAAGCUUACUGCUCGUGGAAGAUCUCCUCAAGAAUUCUGCCACCAACUUUAACCAUAUAAGAAAAUAUGGUUGGACAGAAUUGCAUAAGGAAAAUAAGUCAGGAAAGUGAAUUUGUAAGGAGCUCAAAGGCAUUCGAUUUGGUCAUUUACAUACAGCAAUAGCAAAAAAUACAAAAAACUAUACCAUCUCGCUUCGAUCAUCUCCUGCAGGUUCUGAAAGACCACUUGGUUCGCUAGGUGGCCGGGCACAAUGAGAGUUUGGAAUUGGUGGAGGGCAUGGAGCGAUUUUCUUAACUUCCCUGCUGCAGACAAACAUCAAAACCCACAACCAAGUUCACCAAAAAUGCACAGAAAAAAUACGACUACCAAACUCACAAAUUAAUCGAAGUACUCUUCAAAAUCUAGAAGGAAAAAAAAAACUAAAUCUCACAUAAAAAUAUAAAAAAAAACCCAUAAGUUUAAUGACGGAUCCUCUAAAACUCUGAAAUUUAGACGAAAUUUUUUACAAAAGCAUGAAAAAUUAUUAACAUUCAAUUAUAUUAAAUCACUAUGGGGAAUUAAUUUGGUUUGUUUCAAUUAGAGUAUGAAAAAUUUACUAAAAUUCAAUUGUGCAAAUUUACACUUCUAAACACAUAAUAUUCAAAUAAAGAAAAAUUUGAAUAAAAAGGUACUGACAUUUCAACGCCCAUAGCUUGGAUAAAAUGGAAUUCUCAGAAACUCAUGGAAAAUCCUCAAUGAAAUACUUCCAAAAGACGA